rnacentral:rRNA from 1 species
UACGAAGGGUGCAAGCGUUACUCGGAAUUACUGGGCGUAAAGCGUGCGCAGGCGGCUUUGCAAGACAGAUGUGAAAUCCCCGGGCUCAACCUGGGAACUGCAUUUGUGACUGCAAGGCUAGAGUACGGCAGAGGGGGAUGGAAUUCCGCGUGUAGCAGUGAAAUGCGUAGAUAUGCGGAGGAACACCGAUGGCGAAGGCAAUCCCCUGGGCCUGUACUGACGCUCAUGCACGAAAGCGUGGGGAGCAAACAGG